rnacentral:rRNA from 1 species
CAGUCGCCGCGGUAAUACGGAGGGGGCUAGCGUUGUUCGGAAUUACUGGGCGUAAAGCGCACGUAGGCGGCUUUGUAAGUCAGAGGUGAAAGCCUGGAGCUCAACUCCAGAAUUGCCUUUGAGACUGCAUCGCUUGAACGUCGGAGAGGUGAGUGGAAUUCCGAGUGUAGAGGUGAAAUUCGUAGAUAUUCGGAAGAACACCAGUGGCGAAGGCGGCUCACUGGACGACUGUUGACGCUGAGGUGCGAAAGCGUGGGGAGCAAACAGGAUUAGAUACCCGUGUAGUCCCUGUUUCUUAUAC